UACAAAGUUCUUACUUGAGGAAAAACUGCAUCUCUGUGGCAGUUAAGCAGCAGAUCAAAUCUAAAUUCAGCCGCAGGUUUCAGCAGCGCGAAGGACAAAUCUCAGAUGGUUUGGUGACCAAGGUGAAGACAUCCAGGAAUGUUCUUCAGCUAUUUUUAAACUUGCACGGGGCCAGUUUAGUCUAGUUGUCAUUAGACGCCGUGUGGAAACUUGAGGUUAGGGACAACAUGUGUGACCCACAAAGACAUCAGGCUGCUGCCCCUCUGUAAAGGUUGUGAAUACCGAUUCCAGCUCAGCCUGUCACUCAAGAAGCUGAAGUCAGGGAGCUUUGGACAACUAUCCCAAGCAGGCAGCGAUGAACAUGGAAAGAUCGCCGUGCUCCCAGUUAAGCGCAGAGCCAAAAGGAAUGCUGGGAUAAUAUGACGGAAGAAAUCUACACCUUGGCUGCCGAGGGAAGGUAAGCGCUGCCAAGGGGGAAAAAAAGCAUCUCUCCAGAGGACAGGUGUCCUCCAGAGCUUUGAGGGGAAAAGACAAAGACCUGCCAGCGCCCAGAGACAGCUAGCCGGUUCCAGAAAACGAGAGGUCUUGGAAAACAGCCCCUGAAGCAAACGCUAUAUUCAGCAUGUGAUGCUUCACAGAUCACAGGGAUGACAUUUCUUUGGAAUAGGACCCAUCCUCUCCAGAAAUUCCAUUGUUUGUCUUUCUUUUUCAAUGUUUGUGGUGUUCUUCCCGGCUGCAGUGUCUACCUUCACAUACUGUACCUUUGCUAAAAAUCAAUGCUCAGGACCCUCCUUCUCACCACACAGGGGAAGACAGAGGCUUCUUUGUUAUGCUAAAAUAUGUGCAACUGAAGAUUAUAAAAUUGUGCGAGAAGAGUAUUUUUGAAGCAUACAACAGUGUAGAUAUAUACAGGCCAUCUUUUAGAAUAUGAAUAAUAAUGGAAGACAAGCUGCAA